ACACAAUGGCCUGCCCUGGUGGAAUCCUCAUGAGCCGGGGCAGCAGCCCUUUCCAUAAAGCAAGAAGUCCCUCCUCUGCGUAUAUAGUUUUGAUAGCAUGGAACAUGCCAUUGUACUUGAGUUCACCUGCGCCUCGGCUUUGGGCCAUUAGCCUAGUUUUCACAACAUCAAAAGGACCAGUGCAUAAAGGGCCUGCCGUGCCUGCUAGGAAUCCCGAUACCAUCGACUGCCAUGGCUGGAGGACUUUUCCA
rnacentral:misc_RNA from 1 species